GAUUAAGCCAUGCAUGCCUAGGAAGUGUGUUGUUAUUACAAAAUCUGCGAAUGGCUCCGUAUACCUGUUAUUAUCCAUGGUGCCCACCCACUUCGUGCGCGGAUAAUGCUGGAAACCCUAACAAUAAUACGUUCUUCGGGACAUAUUGUUGUUCGACCACUUGCUUAAGCUCGAAUGGAACGCACCUCUCGCAGGUGCUUCCUUUCAACAGGGGUUUGCUCGUGGUCACUGGGGCUCCUGCUUUUCUGGCAUACCGACCCGGGGUCAAAAAGAGUGGCUGCGCUAAGUCGUGCUCCUUUGUCUCCCAAGCAUCUGGGCAACAUGUAGGCGCAUGCCUCAGCUGAUUCAUCAGCGAAGGGCUGUGCUUAUCCAGGUGCGAGGGAACCAAGACGAAGAAACGGGCACGAUGUAGCUCACUCUUUCCUGGUGCUCGACCAACGCAUGAUUUGGGUGGGAGAGCUUUCCUCGAUGGAGGCAUGACCAAUGCCCUCCACCAUCACGUUGAAUUUCAGUCCUAUCAACUGGAUGGUCGGGCAUUGGCCGACCAUGGUCUUAACGGGUGCAGAGGAUUAGGGUUUGAUCCUGGAGAGGUAGCCUGAGAAAUAGCUCCCACUUCCAUGGAAGGCAGCAGGCGCGCAACGUUCCCAAUGGUUUACGGACCGAGGACGUUAAGGGACAUAGCAAUACUUUGCUUAUAGUAAAGCAAUUGAAAUGGGGGAGAUCCAAAUCAACCACCGAGUAACAAUUAGAGGACA
rnacentral:rRNA from 1 species